AUGUCACAAGGCACUUCAUCCUUCAUUCCUCUGGCACUGCCUGUCUUGCACAGCUGUUCUCAGACCCACAACUGGAGACUGUCAAAGGUUUAGGUGCAGACUGGGUGCUCAAAGGAGAGAGGGUGGCUUCAGAAUGGUGUGAUAGAGAUCACUGAUGAAUAAGAAUAGUACAAAAAAUAACCAAUACUUACUGAGGGCUCAUUUUGUGCCAGUGCCUACCCUUGAUGACCUUGUGAAAUUCACAACAGCUCUAAAAGGGAGGUGUCAUUUUGAGAAGGAAACCUUGGCUCAGAGAGGCUGAGUCACUUGCCCAAGGUUGCGCGGCUCUUCAGAGCCGGAGCCAGGAGUCAAAUGCGAGAGGCUGAACCUUAGGGCCCAAGUUCUUGAGGCAGACAGGGGCCCAGUACAUGAUUAUUCCCAUCAGACCCCAUCAGCCUUGGUCAGUGACAAGCAUCAGGGGACAGCCUCCUGCCCAGAUUUUGGACAGCCCCAACGCAAUGAGCCUGGGCAGCAGUGCCCGGCUGCCACCAAGUGAGCCCGGGUUGUCACACCUUGCUUGGGGGUGCCACCCAAGCCCACUGUUGUCCAAAUAGCGCUGGCCGGGAAAAGGUCACCCUGUCACCUCCUACCCCCUACAUCUUAGGGAGAGGUGGGAACAGCACGGGCAGCAGGGGUCCCACAGGGUUCCAGGCAUAGGCUUUCCUGCUUCAGGCUGGCCCUGGCCGAUGGCCUGGUUUUGGGCUUUUCUGUGCUCUGAGCACAUCUAAACAUUUGGAGAAAAACAAGAAAGCGAACAAUAGACGCUUGUGGGUUAGAGGAAUGGGCCCACUUCCCCCUGGGAGUCAGCACUGUUCAUAAGCCGCCCCAGCUGCACUCUCACGGUGGGGAUGUCACUGGAGGCUCGUUGAAUCACAGCCUUGUCCUUCUUGGGGGCCAGCUACUGGCUCCUUUUAUGUAUCGGCGGGGAUGCAAAUGCUGGUGGGGCGGACGGGUGCACAGGGGGAAGGCAUGUUUUGCUGCCUGAAUUUUGGGAAGUCACACAGCAAAGAUGCAUCCGAGCCUGGCAUUGUCGCUCUGCCAAGGCACCCCUUGACGGACGUGUUCCGAUCAGAGCUGUCUGCCCCACGGGAAAAGAAUCAGCUUUCUAUCAAGUGGACUCUGGGCAUCGCCCCAGAGAGCUGCAGCUCCAAAGGACCCGGAGAGACCCCCAGACGACCGAGAGGGGCUGACGUGGAGUGUCCCCCGCCUGGAUGGCAUCCCUGGAAAAGGCUGGAGUGUUUCUACAGAGGCUGUUCAGACAUCACAUCACAGUCCCAGACGGCCGAGAGGUUCUUGCACUCACUUGGCUGCCCUCCCUGGGAAAUGCUUUGGAUCAGACAGCACUUCUGGGUUGUUUUUGCCUGAGGAAAGUGGCUCACAGCAUCAUCCUCACCCUUGCUCUGAGAAACCGUCAUGAAAUCAGUGCAGCUUUGGAAAGGAAGGAACGUGGCAAAUCCCUAAUCACACCUCACCUUUAAAUACGGUCUUUGACCAUAUUAGAACCAGA